rnacentral:SRP_RNA from 1 species
GCCGGGCGCAGUGGCACAUGCCUGUAGUCCCAGCUACUCGGGAUGCUGAGGUGGGAGGAUCGCUUGAGCCCAGGAGUUCUGGGCUGUAGUGCGCUAUGCUGACUGGGUGUCCACACUAAGUUCAGCAUCAAUAUGGUGACCUCUGGGGAGCGGGGGACCACCAGGUUGCCUAAGAAGGGGUGAACCAGCCCAGGUUGGAAACGGAGCAGGUCAAAACUCCUAUGCUGAUCAGUAGUGGGAUCGUGUCUGUGAACAGCCACUGCACUCCAGCUUGGGCAACAUAGCGAGACCUCAUCUUUA